rnacentral:rRNA from 1 species
GGACUACAAGGGUUUCUAAUCCUGUUUGCUCCCCUAGCUUUCGCAGUUGAGUGUCAGUAAUGGUCCAGGUACUUGCUUUCGCCAUUGGUGUUCCUCCCGAUCUCUGCACAUUUCACCGUUCCACCGGGAAUUCCAGUACCCUCUCCCAUACUCAAGCCUGGCAGUAUCUGUUGACCUCUCCCGGUUAAGCCGAGAGCUUUCACAACAGACUUACCAAACCACCUACCUGCCCUUUACGCCUAGUAAUUCCGAGUAACGCUUGCCACCUUCGUAUUACCGCGGCUGCUGGCAC